GAACUGAUGAUGAUAAGGUGACAGUAGAGGAUCCCAGUGCUGUUGUUCCUGAAGUGACCCUACCAGACACUUGGAGAUGCAAGCUCCACCGCUAGGAUAAUUUGUGGCACAUAGAAUGUCUUGGAUGGGGUUGAAGACUACAGAGUUACAGUUACAAUCCUCUGGAAUCUUAGCUAGAGGAAUAUGAGAUACAAGACUUAGACUCUCCAAGAAAGGACAACUAUUGGAGUAAUCUCUGUAAUUUGCCAACUACCUAUAGUCUGGACAUGUAGAAUGUGUUUCUUGCCUGAUGCUGUUCUUGUUAGUUGUAGUUCCUUUUUGUUUAUGUUAUUACCUUUUCUUUCCUCCAGACAAUACUUGAUAAUUGUUCUUAUUAUAUACACUUUUGUAUUAGGAUUAUAACUUUCUUAAUUAGAUAAAAGAAUGGAUAAUAAUGUGGGGAUUUGAUCCAUUU